rnacentral:rRNA from 1 species
UACGAAGGGGGCUAGCGUUGCUCGGAAUUACUGGGCGUAAAGGGCGCGUAGGCGGAUAGUUUAGUCAGAGGUGAAAGCCCAGGGCUCAACCUUGGAAUUGCCUUUGAUACUGGCUAUCUUGAGUUCGGGAGAGGUGAGUGGAAUGCCGAGUGUAGAGGUGAAAUUCGUAGAUAUUCGGCGGAACACCAGUGGCGAAGGCGACUCACUGGCCCGAUACUGACGCUGAGACGCGAAAGCGUGGGGAGCAAACAGG